GCGGACGAGGUGCGGAGAGGCGGGGUAAGAAGGAGGGGGCAAGCGUUGUACGGAUUUAUUGGGGGUAAAGGGCGUGGAGGCGGCCUGGAAGGUCAGCGGUGAAAACGCGAGGCUUAACCUCGAGACGUCGGUUGAAACCACCUGGCUAGAGUCCGGAAGAGGAGUGUGGAAUUCCCGGUGUAGCGGUGAAAUGCGCAGAUAUCGGGAAGAACACCCGUGGCGAAGGCGGCACUCUGGGACGGUACUGACGCUGAGACGCGAAAGCGUGGGGAGCGAACAGGAUUAGAUACCCUAGUAGUG
rnacentral:rRNA from 1 species